AAUUCCCCCAUCCCCUACAACCCCCGCACUCAUCCCUGGCUACUCGCCCCUACUCCACCCCUGCUCUUCUGGACCCCAUGACCUCCCUCUCUCCCUGCACUCUGCCCCAACAGCCCGGACCACACUCACCCAUUGCAGCACCUUCACAAAGCCGAGGGGCUCCUUGACCACCCGGAACUGACCCCCAGCCACCAGCUGAGGAGAGAAACAGUGGGGAAGGGGUGGGGUUGUUGGAGGUACAGGGAGGUGAGCGGCAAGGCUGCCCAUCAAUGACCCCAGGGGAUGGAGCAUGUGACCUCGGGGAGAGGGUGAGAAGGAGAAAGUGACACCUUGGGGAUGGUGUGAGCCCCAGGGUCCAAGGACUGGUGGGAAGGUCUGAAGAGAUGCUGAAUAAACUAAGAGGCGGAGAGGAAUUUUCCUAAGUUCACACAGCUGGUAAAUUGGUAGAACCAGGAUAUGAACCCAGGAAGUCUGGCUCCAGCACCUGUUACUCUUAGCCACUGUGCUAACUUAUCAGUACACCAUCUUUUUUUUUUCAGCACACCAUCUUGUAUGUCUGUGAAAGAUACCUGAUAAUACUAUUUGCUUCCAGAGGGUAGGGAAACUUUUCACUUUAUACCCCUUUGUACCUUUUGAGACUCCAUCUCAAAUAAAAUAAAAAAAUAAACA
rnacentral:lncRNA from 1 species